ACUCCGGGCGUGCUGCCGGCGGCGGUAGGUGGCGCGCGGGUCCGGCGGGCGGUUGGCUUGAGCGGGACCGGAGCUGAGGCAGGAAGAGCCGGCGCCAUGGUGGAGAAGGAGGAGGCUGGCGGCGGCAUUAGCGAGGAGGAGGCGGCACAGUAUGACCGGCAGAUCCGCCUGUGGGGACUGGAGGCCCAGAAACGGUCAGGGCCGGCGCGGCUUGAGGCCGCUAGGGUCUGGAGGGGGCGUCUAUUCUGAGGCGUUUGCGGCCCGGAAGGAGCGGGAAGGCUGCGGGCCUCUCGGGUGCUUCUUGUCGGCUUGAAAGGACUUGGGGCUGAAAUUGCCAAGAAUCUCAUCUUGGCAGGAGUGAAAGGACUGACCAUGCUGGAUCACGAACAGGUAACUCCAGAAGAUCCCGGAGCUCAGUUCUUGAUUCGUACUGGGUCUGUUGGCCGAAAUAGGGCUGAAGCCUCUUUGGAGCGAGCUCAGAAUCUCAACCCCAUGGUGGAUGUGAAGGUGGACACUGAGGAUAUAGAGAAGAAACCAGAGUCAUUUUUCACUCAAUUCGAUGCUGUGUGUCUGACUUGCUGCUCCAGGGAUGUCAUAGUUAAAGUUGACCAGAUCUGUCACAAAAAUAGCAUCAAGUUCUUUACAGGAGAUGUUUUUGGCUACCAUGGAUACACAUUUGCCAAUCUAGGAGAGCAUGAGUUUGUAGAGGAGAAAACUAAAGUUGCCAAAGUUAGCCAAGGAGUAGAAGAUGGGCCCGACACCAAGAGAGCAAAACUUGAUUCUUCUGAGACAACGAUGGUCAAAAAGAAGGUGGUCUUCUGCCCUGUUAAAGAAGCCCUGGAGGUGGACUGGAGCAGUGAGAAAGCAAAGGCUGCUCUGAAGCGCACGACCUCCGACUACUUUCUCCUUCAAGUGCUCUUAAAGUUCCGUACAGAUAAAGGAAGAGAUCCCAGUUCUGAUACAUAUGAGGAAGAUUCUGAGUUGUUGCUCCAGAUACGAAAUGAUGUGCUUGACUCACUGGGUAUUAGUCCUGACCUGCUUCCUGAGGACUUUGUCAGGUACUGCUUCUCCGAGAUGGCCCCAGUGUGUGCGGUGGUUGGAGGGAUUUUGGCACAGGAAAUUGUGAAGGCCCUGUCUCAGCGGGACCCUCCUCACAACAACUUCUUCUUCUUCGAUGGCAUGAAGGGGAAUGGGAUUGUGGAGUGCCUUGGCCCCAAGUGAACUCAAGAUUUGGCAGCCCCAGAGAUGCCAACUGCAGCAUGCCCACCUGUAUUCCCUGUCCCCUUCCUUCAUGAAGGCAUCUCCAGGCAAGGAAAACUGAAGUCAUUGGCCCGAUACAAAACAUUUCCUGCAACGAAGGAGGUGGUGCCGACGUGCUGCUUCCCAUCACCAGCAGCUGCUCGACAAGGGGCGCAGGGUGGCUGUCUUUGUUCCAGCACUGUUCAGGCUGCCUGUCAUCCCGGGCCUGCCAGCUCCCCUGAGUGAUGAGCACUUCCAAGCACCCCUCUGCCCUUUCUCUGUCCUUAUGCUGUCCCGGCCUCGCCAGCCCUCUGGGGCAUUGUGGGAGAUGCCUGCCAGGAAUGAGCAAGCUCUGUUGCUCGGGAGCCUCUUGUCACCUUCUUGGACUUAUUCCCCACCUGAUACCUUAUAGAGAAAAGUGUGAAUUCAGGUGGAGAGUAGGCCCAGGCCCCAUGAGGCACCAGUGGAAGCACAGCUCCAAGUUCAGACAGGUGCCCUUAGAGAGGAAAACCAUGACAGGCAAAUGCAUUUCCUCUGGAGUUUGAGACCCUGACAAACAACAGGUGGCAUCUGGUGUGCUGUUCUUGAGUUUUCGUUUAGGAUUAGUUGAGUUCCAGCUGGGUUUUGGGAGAAAGGAGAUGCUACCAAGUCUUGGAUGUUAGGGCGAGACCCUGCAAGUUGAGUAUUAGAGAGCUUGUCUUUCAAGGCAGGUUCCUGGGGCUUCAGGGCUAGGAGGGAGGAGCCUGCCCUUUUAACAGAACCCCAGUCACAUGCGGCUCAAGUCACUCAGAGGCUGUUGCAUUUCAGGGCUAUGUUGGUCCUUUGUUUACCUCCUAAACCACAGCUGUUUGUGUUUCACAUAUGUUGUGAAUUUUCCUUGGUUCUUUUUAAAGGAAUGAUAAUAAAGUUACUUGCUUUAGGAUUUGCUUGUUUUUCUUCCACUUCAGAAGCUUCUGAGAGGGAAUGGGAUGAUCCUACCAGUUGCCUUUUCAGACCUGAGGCUCUAACUCAAGAGAUUCCUCCUCUCCCUCACCAUUCCUGCCACCAUUUUUUCUGGGUGAUGCAGCAAGAGUUAAAUUGUUCACAUUCUAGAAUGUGUAGAAGCUUCUGGCUCCAGUUGUCUAAUGGAUAAUUCAGCUAAAUAGUGGCUAUUUUCAGUGGCAAGAAUUAUAAUAAUAAAGGGAAGUCAAAAGUGAUGCUUCAUAUGCCCCAAGUGCCACAGCCGCUACGGGUCAGAGCUUUUAUUGGAAGACCAGGUUUGCCUUGAUGCAGCCAAAGUGCGUUCCAGUUCACCCCACUCUUGCUUGUGUUUCUUCUUUAUGUAAAUUGUGUGAUGUUUCAAUAAAUCAGUCUCUUUCCUAUUCUGA